AUGGACCUCGUGGGCAGGAACGUGCAUCAGCGCUGGUUCCUCCUUCUUCUGCUGGCAGCUCCUGGAUGUGUCCUGUCCCAGGUACAGCUGCAGGAGUCAGGACCAAGCCUGGUGAAACCCUCGCAGACGCUGUCUCUCACUUACUCGGUCUCUGGAUUCUCUCUAACUAGCUACGAUGUAAACUGGGUCCGCCAGUUCCCUGGAAACGGGCUGGAUUGGAUUGAUGCUAUGUGGUCUAACGGAAACACAUACUAUAACCCAAGUCUUCAGUCCCAAGUCAGCAUCACCAGGGACACCGCCAAGAACCAAGUUUGCCUAAAACUGAGCAACUCAGUGACUGAGGACACAGCCGUGUAUUAUUGUGCAAGACACAGUGAGACCACGUCUCUGAGAGCCCAGACACAAACCUGCUGA